UGUGACUGCGUACCUUUUGUAUAAUGGGUCAGCGACUUAUAUUCUGUAGCAAGGUUAACCGAAUAGGGGAGCCGAAGGGAAACCGAGUCUUAACUGGGCGUUAAGUUGCAGGGUAUAGACCCGAAACCCGGUGAUCUAGCCAUGGGCAGGUUGAAGGUUGGGUAACACUAACUGGAGGACCGAACCGACUAAUGUUGAAAAAUUAGCGGAUGACUUGUGGCUGGGGGUGAAAGGCCAAUCAAACCGGGAGAUAGCUGGUUCUCCCCGAAAGCUAUUUAGGUAGCGCCUCGUGAAUUCAUCUCCGGGGGUAGAGCACUGUUUCGGCAAGGGGGUCAUCCCGACUUACCAACCCGAUGCAAACUGCGAAUACCGGAGAAUGUUAUCACGGGAGACACACGGCGGGUGCUAACGUCCGUCGUGAAGAGGGAAACAACCCAGACCGCCAGCUAAGGUCCCAAAGUCAUGGUUAAGUGGGAAACGAUGUGGGAAGGCCCAGACAGCCAGGAUGUUGGCUUAGAAGCAGCCAUCAUUUAAAGAAAGCGUAAUAGCUCACUGGUCGAGUCGGCCUGCGCGGAAGAUGUAACGGGGCUAAACCAUGCACCGAAGCUGCGGCAGCGACGCUUAUGCGUUGUUGGGUAGGGGAGCGUUCUGUAAGCCUGUGAAGGUGUACUGUGAGGUAUGCUGGAGGUAUCAGAAGUGCGAAUGCUGACAUAAGUAACGAUAAAGCGGGUGAAAAGCCCGCUCGCCGGAAGACCAAGGGUUCCUGUCCAACGUUAAUCGGGGCAGGGUGAGUCGACCCCUAAGGCGAGGCCGAAAGGCGUAGUCGAUGGGAAACAGGUUAAUAUUCCUGUACUUGGUGUUACUGCGAAGGGGGGACGGAGAAGGCUAUGUUGGCCGGGCGACGGUUGUCCCGGUUUAAGCGUGUAGGCUGGUUUUCCAGGCAAAUCCGGAAAAUCAAGGCUGAGGCGUGAUGACGAGGCACUACGGUGCUGAAGCAACAAAUGCCCUGCUUCCAGGAAAAGCCUCUAAGCAUCAGGUAACAUCAAAUCGUACCCCAAACCGACACAGGUGGUCAGGUAGAGAAUACCAAGGCGCUUGAGAGAACUCGGGUGAAGGAACUAGGCAAAAUGGUGCCGUAACUUCGGGAGAAGGCACGCUGAUAUGUAGGUGAAGUCCCUCGCGGAUGGAGCUGAAAUCAGUCGAAGAUACCAGCUGGCUGCAACUGUUUAUUAAAAACACAGCACUGUGCAAACACGAAAGUGGACGUAUACGGUGUGACGCCUGCCCGGUGCCGGAAGGUUAAUUGAUGGGGUUAGCGCAAGCGAAGCUCUUGAUCGAAGCCCCGGUAAACGGCGGCCGUAACUAUAACGGUCCUAAGGUAGCGAAAUUCCUUGUCGGGUAAGUUCCGACCUGCACGAAUGGCGUAAUGAUGGCCAGGCUGUCUCCACCCGAGACUCAGUGAAAUUGAACUCGCUGUGAAGAUGCAGUGUACCCGCGGCAAGACGGAAAGACCCCGUGAACCUUUACUAUAGCUUGACACUGAACAUUGAGCCUUGAUGUGUAGGAUAGGUGGGAGGCUUUGAAGUGUGGACGCCAGUCUGCAUGGAGCCGACCUUGAAAUACCACCCUUUAAUGUUUGAUGUUCUAACGUUGACCCGUAAUCCGGGUUGCGGACAGUGUCUGGUGGGUAGUUUGACUGGGGCGGUCUCCUCCUAAAGAGUAACGGAGGAGCACGAAGGUUGGCUAAUCCUGGUCGGACAUCAGGAGGUUAGUGCAAUGGCAUAAGCCAGCUUGACUGCGAGCGUGACGGCGCGAGCAGGUGCGAAAGCAGGUCAUAGUGAUCCGGUGGUUCUGAAUGGAAGGGCCAUCGCUCAACGGAUAAAAGGUACUCCGGGGAUAACAGGCUGAUACCGCCCAAGAGUUCAUAUCGACGGCGGUGUUUGGCACCUCGAUGUCGGCUCAUCACAUCCUGGGGCUGAAGUAGGUCCCAAGGGUAUGGCUGUUCGCCAUUUAAAGUGGUACGCGAGCUGGGUUUAGAACGUCGUGAGACAGUUCGGUCCCUAUCUGCCGUGGGCGCUGGAGAACUGAGGGGGGCUGCUCCUAGUACGAGAGGACCGGAGUGGACGCAUCACUGGUGUUCGGGUUGUCAUGCCAAUGGCACUGCCCGGUAGCUAAAUGCGGAAGAGAUAAGUGCUGAAAGCAUCUAAGCACGAAACUUGCCCCGAGAUGAGUUCUCCCUGACUCCUUGAGAGUCCUGAAGGAACGUUGAAGACGACGACGUUGAUAGGCCGGGUGUGUAAGCGCAGCGAUGCGUUGAGCUAACCGGUACUAAUGAACCGUGAGG
rnacentral:rRNA from 1 species